rnacentral:ncRNA from 1 species
UAUGAUGCUAUGAAAAGGAAAAGUAAGGCAGUAUGGUUGCCCCAGAGAGGAAGUGCCGUGGCUGAAAGCACUUCCCACUAGCUGUCUGAAAGACCACCUUGGAGCAGUUUGCAGAAUUUUAGUAAGCAAACCGGUCUGAUACCGAUAUCAUCCUUUGAGGUGGGAGCAAUGUCUCCAACCAGGGUGGAACCGCGGCAACAACCCCGUCCCUGAG